GGGGUUUGAUCCUGGCUCAGGACGAACGCUGGCGGCGUGCCUAAUACAUGCAAGUCGCGCGGACUUCUUCGGAGGUCAGCGGCGGACGGGUGAGUAACACGUGGGCAACCUGCCUGACAGACCGGGAUAACGCUUGGAAACGAGUGCUAAUACCGGAUACGCUUUUGACCCGCAUGGGUCGAAAGGGAAAGCAGCUUUUGCUGCACUGUCAGAUGGGCCCGCGGCGCAUUAGCUAGUUGGUGAGGUAACGGCUCACCAAGGCCACGAUGCGUAGCCGACCUGAGAGGGUGACCGGCCACACUGGGACUGAGACACGGCCCAGACUCCUACGGGAGGCAGCAGUAGGGAAUCUUCCACAAUGGGCGCAAGCCUGAUGGAGCAACGCCGCGUGAGUGAUGACGGCCUUCGGGUUGUAAAACUCUGUCUUCUGUGACGAACAAGUGCGUGAGUAAAAUGCUCGCACCCUGACGGUAACAAGAGGAGGAAGCCACGGCUAACUACGUGCCAGCAGCCGCGGUAAUACGUAGGUGGGCAAGCGUUGUCCGGAUUCACUGGGCGUAAAGCGCGCGCAGGCUGGAAUCUGCGUCCGGGGUGAAAACCCGAGGCUCAACCUCGGGGACUGCCUUGGAUACGGGAUUGCUUGAAGAUCGGAAAAGGCAAGGGGGUAUUCCACGUGUAACGGUGAAAUGGNUUAAAGAUGUGAGGAAC
rnacentral:rRNA from 1 species